rnacentral:rRNA from 1 species
CGGCAGCACGGACUUCGGUCUGGUGGCGAGUGGCGAACGGGUGAGUAAUGCGCCGGAACGUAUCCAGUAGAGGGGGAUAACGCAGCGAAAGCUGUGCUAAUACCGCAUACGCCCUGAGGGGGAAAGCAUGGGAUCUUCGGACCAUGCGUUAUUGGAGCGGCCGACGUCUGAUUAGCUAGUAGGUGAGGUAAAGGCUCACCUAGGCGAUGAUCAGUAGCUGGUCUGAGAGGAUGAUCAGCCACACUGGAACUGAGAGACGGUCCAGACUCCUACGGGAGGCAGCAGUGGGGAAUUUUGGACAAUGGGCGCAAGCCUGAUCCAGCCAUUCCGCGUGAGUGAAGAAGGCCUUCGGGUUGUAAAGCUCUUUCGGCAGGGAAGAAAAGGUUCUGGUUAAUAACUGGAACUGCUGACGGUACCUGAAGAAGAAGCACCGGCUAACUACGUGCCAGCAGCCGCGGUAAUACGUAGGGUGCGAGCGUUAAUCGGAAUUACUGGGCGUAAAGGGUGCGCAGGCGGCUCUGUAAGUCUGACGUGAAAUCCCCGGGCUUAACCUGGGAACUGCGUUGGAAACUGUAGAGCUAGAGUGUAGCAGAGGGGGGUAGAAUUCCACGUGUAGCAGUGAAAUGCGUAGAGAUGUGGAGGAAUACCGAUGGCGAAGGCAGCCCCCUGGGUUAACACUGACGCUCAGGCACGAAAGCGUGGGUAGCAAACAGGAUUAGAUACCCUGGUAGUCCACGCCCUAAACGAUGUCAACUAGUUGUUGGGGAGGGAGACCUCCUUGGUAACGCAGCUAACGCGUGAAGUUGACCGCC